GAUACCUUAAUAGAAAAUUACUCAAGGAGAAAGGAAUGUCACCCAGUAAAGUACUACUUAAGUAAAAGUCUAAAAGUAUUUGGCUUUAAAUAUAGUUAAGUAUCAAAAGUAAGUGUAAUUGCUAAAAUAUACUUAAGUAUCAAAGGCUCCCGAGUGGCGCAGCGGUCUAAGGCACUGCAUCUCAGUGCAAGAGGUGUCACUACAGUCCCUGGUUUGAAUCCAGCCUGUAUCACAUCCCGGCGUGAUUGGGAGUCUCAUAGGGCCGUGCACAAUUGGCCCAGCGUCGUCCGGGUUUGGCCGGGGUAGGCCGUCAUUGUAAAUAAGAUUUUGUUCUUAACUGACUUGCCUAGUUAAAUAAAGGUUAAAUAAAAAGUAAAAGUAUAAAUCAUUUAAAAUUCCUUAUAUUAAGCAAACCAGUUUUUUUUUUUUUUUGGCAGAUAGCCAGGGGCUCAGACACAAUAUAGAAAUGAAGCAUGUGUUUAAUGUGUCCACCAGAUCAGAGGUAGUAGGGAUGGCCAGGGAUGUUCUCUUGAUAUGUGUGUGAAGUAAACCAUUUUCCUGUCCUGCUAAGCAUUCAAAAUGUAACGAGUACUUUCGGGUACCAGGGAAAAUGGAUGGAAUAAAAAGUACCUAAUUGUCUUUAGGACUGCAGUGAAGUAAAAGUAAAAGUUUUCAAAAAUAUAAAUAGUAAAGUACAGAUACCCCAAAAAACGACCUAAUUAGUACUUUCAAGUAUUUUUACUUAAGUACUUCACACCACUGCACACACACAGGUUUGUUUUUGUUUACAUUUUUCCACCAGGUGAUGAGUCUAUGAAGAGCUUAUGUUGUCCACUGCAAGCAAUCUGUCAGGGUACCUAUCUCCCUCUAGAAUAAAUACCCAGCCAGUGCAAACAGAGUCCGAGCACACACAGCAAACACAUGGAAACCUCAGGCUCAUGCCAAGUGUUAACUUACAGAGCAGAGGAAGGAAGCAUAGCACGCUAGACAGAGAGGGAGGGUGGGAGAUGGAGGAAACCAGGGAGAGAGAAAUGGAGAGGCUCAAUGCAUUUUAGAGAGGAUGGAACCUGUGUAAGUACAUUUUAAUAAUUGUUUUCCAGUGUAGUAGCACAAGUUAUGCUGGCCUCA
rnacentral:lncRNA from 8 species